AGAAUCAACGCUGGCGGCGUGCCUCAGACAUGCAAGUCGAACGCGAAAGUUCCCUUCGGGGGAUGAGUAGAGUGGCGCACGGGUGAGUAACACGUAGGUAAUCUACCUUUGGAUGGGGAAUAACAACCGGAAACGGUUGCUAAUACCGCAUAAUGCAGCGGCACCUAAUGGUGACAGUUGUUAAA
rnacentral:rRNA from 1 species